AGAGUUUGAUCAUGGCUCAGAACGAACGCUGGCGGCGCGCCUAAUACAUGCAAGUCGAGCGAGAAGACGUAGCAAUACGUUUGUAAAGCGGCGAACGGGUGAGGAAUACAUGGGUAACCUACCCUCGAGUGGGGAAUAACUAGCCGAAAGGUUAGCUAAUACCGCGUACGCUUCUUGGACUUCGGUUCAGGGAGGAAAGCGAUACCGUGGGUAUCGCGCUCUUGGAUGGGCUCAUGUCCUAUCAGCUUGUUGGUGAGGUAACGGCUCACCAAGGCUUCGACGGGUAGCUGGUCUGAGAGGACGAUCAGCCACACUGGCACUGCGACACGGGCCAGACUCCUACGGGAGGCAGCAGUAAGGAAUAUUGCGCAAUGGGCGAAAGCCUGACGCAGCGACGCCGCGUGGGGGAUGAAGGUCUUCGGAUUGUAAACCCCUUUCGGGAGGGAAGAUGGAAUGGGGUAACCCAUUCGGACGGUACCUCCAGAAGCAGCCACGGCUAACUUCGUGCCAGCAGCCGCGGUAAUACGAAGGUGGCAAGCGUUGUUCGGAUUUACUGGGCGUACAGGGAGCGUAGGCGGUUCGGUAAGCCCUCUGUGAAAUCUCCAGGCUUAACCUGGAACAGUCGGAGGGGACUGCCGGGCUAGAGGACGGGAGAGGAGCGCGGAAUUCCCGGUGUAGCGGUGAAAUGCGUAGAGAUCGGGAGGAAGGCCGGUGGCGAAGGCGGCGCCUGGAACGUUUCUGACGCUGAGGCCGAAAGCGUGGGGAGCAAACAGGAUUAGAUACCCNNGUAGUCC
rnacentral:rRNA from 1 species